UGUAGUCCCAUGGGAUAUUUGUUGUCCCAUGGGACAAAAAAAAUCCCAUGGGACUAUAAUUAUCCCAUGGGAUUUUUAAUAUCCCAUGGGACAAAAUA
rnacentral:sRNA from 1 species